rnacentral:rRNA from 1 species
UUGUUGGAGAGUUUGAUCCUGGCUCAGGACGAACGCUGGCGGCGUGCUUCACACAUGCAAGUCGAACGGAAAGGCCCGCU